GACGAACGCUGGCGGCGUGCUUAACACAUGCCAGUCGAACGGAAAGGCCCCCUUGUGGGGUACUCGAGUGGCGAACGGGUGAGUAACACGUGAGUAAACUACCCUUGACUUUGGGAUAACUUCAGGAAACUGGGGCUAAUACCGGAUAGGAGCUCCUGCUGCAUGGUGGGGGUUGGAAAGUUUCGGCGGUUGGGGAUGGACUCGCGGCUUAUCAGCUUGUUGGUGGGGUAGUGGCUCACCAAGGCUUUGACGGGUAGCCGGCCUGAGAGGGUGACCGGCCACAUUUGGACUGAGAUACGGCCCAGACUCCUACGGGAGGCAGCAGUGGGGAAUAUUGCACAAUGGGCGGAAGCCUGAUGCAGCAACGCCGCGUGCGGGAUGACGGCCUUCGGGUUGUAAACCGCUUUCGCCUGUGACGAAGCGUGAGUGACGGUAAUGGGUAAAGAAGCACCGGCUAACUACGUG
rnacentral:rRNA from 1 species